UCUUGACUAGUAUAUCGGUUAGUACACGCGCUUGUCAUAACAUCGCAUAUAAUGUAUGACUUAACCGCGCGAAAGCUGGGUUCGACUCCCAGGUCGAGAG